AUUGAACGCUGGCGGCAUGCCUUACACAUGCAAGUCGAACGGCAGCACGGGAGCAAUCCUGGUGGCGAGUGGCGAACGGGUGAGUAAUGUAUCGGAACGUGCCCAGUCGUGGGGGAUAACGUAGCGAAAGCUACGCUAAUACCGCAUACGAUCUAUGGAUGAAAGCGGGGGACCGUAAGGCCUCGCGCGAUUGGAGCGGCCGAUAUCAGAUUAGGUAGUUGGUGGGGUAAAGGCCUACCAAGCCGACGAUCUGUAGCUGGUCUGAGAGGACGACCAGCCACACUGGGACUGAGACACGGCCCAGACUCCUACGGGAGGCAGCAGUGGGGAAUUUUGGACAAUGGGCGCAAGCCUGAUCCAGCAAUGCCGCGUGCAGGAUGAAGGCCUUCGGGUUGUAAACUGCUUUUGUACGGAGCGAAAAGGCCCUCUCUAAUACAGGGGGCUCAUGACGGUACCGUAAGAAUAAGCACCGGCUAACUACGUGCCAGCCGCCGCCGUAA
rnacentral:rRNA from 1 species